AGAGCGAACGCUGGCGGCAGGCUUAACACAUGCAAGUCGAGCGGGCGUAGCAAUACGUCAGCGGCAGACGGGUGAGUAACGCGUGGGAACAUACCUUUUGGUUCGGAACAACCCAGGGAAACUUGGGCUAAUACCGGAUAAGCCCUUACGGGGAAAGAUUUAUCGCCGAAAGAUUGGCCCGCGUCUGAUUAGCUAGUUGGUGAGGUAACGGCUCACCAAGGCGACGAUCAGUAGCUGGUCUGAGAGGAUGAUCAGCCACAUUGGGACUGAGACACGGCCCAAACUCCUACGGGAGGCAGCAGUGGGGAAUAUUGGACAAUGGGCGCAAGCCUGAUCCAGCCAUGCCGCGUGAGUGAUGAAGGCCCUAGGGUUGUAAAGCUCUUUUGUGCGGGAAGAUAAUGACGGUACCGCAAGAAUAAGCCCCGGCUAACUUCGCGCCAGUAGCCGC
rnacentral:rRNA from 1 species